GGGGUUGUGGCUCAGCGGUAGAGCGCCCACCUAGCACGGGUAAAGCCCUGGGUUCGAUCCCCAGCACCA
rnacentral:tRNA from 1 species